AUUGAACGCUGGCGGCAGGCUUAACACAUGCAAGUCGGACGGUAACAGGAGGAAAGCUUGCUUUCUUUGCUGACGAGUGGCGGACGGGUGAGUAAUGCUUGGGAAUCUGUUUUAUGGAGGGGGAUAACUACGGGAAACUGUAGCUAAUACCGCGUAAUAUCGAGAGAUUAAAGUGUGGGACCGUAAGGCCACAUGCCAUAGAGUGAGCCCAAGUGGGAUUAGGUAGUUGGUGGGGUAAAGGCCUACCAAGCCGUCGAUCUCUAGCUGGUCUGAGAGGAUGACCAGCCACACUGGGACUGAGACACGGCCCAGACUCCUACGGGAGGCAGCAGUGGGGAAUAUUGCACAAUGGGCGCAAGCCUGAUGCAGCCAUGCCGCGUGAAUGAAGAAGGCCUUCGGGUUGUAAAGUUCUUUCGGUGGUGAGAAAGGUUGUAAUGUUAAUAGCAUUAUAAUUUGACGUUAGCCACAGAAGAAGCACCGGCUAACUCCGUGCCAGCAGCCGCGGUAAUACGGAGGGUGCGAGCGUUAAUCGGAAUAACUGGGCGUAAAGGGCACGCAGGCGGAUACUUAAGUGAGGUGUGAAAGCCCUGGGCUUAACCUAGGAAUUGCAUUUCAUACUGGGUAUCUAGAGUAUUUUAGGGAGGGGUAGAAUUCCACGUGUAGCGGUGAAAUGCGUAGAGAUGUGGAGGAAUACCGAAGGCGAAGGCAGCCCCUUGGGGGAAUACUGACGCUCAUGUGCGAAAGCGUGGGGAGCAAACAGG
rnacentral:rRNA from 1 species